CCUACGGGUGGCAGCAGUGGGGAAUAUUGGACAAUGGGGGGAACCCUGAUCCAGCGACGCCGCGUGAGUGAAGAAGUAUUUCGGUAUGUAAAGCUCUAUCAGCAGGGAAGAAAGAAAUGACGGUACCUGACUAAGAAGCCCCGGCUAACUACGUGCCAGCAGCCGCGGUAAUACGUAGGGGGCAAGCGUUAUCCGGAUUUACUGGGUGUAAAGGGAGCGUAGACGGCGAUGCAAGUCUGAAGUGAAAGGCGGGGGCUCAACCCCCGGACUGCUUUGGAAACUGUAUGGCUGGAGUGCAGGAGAGGUAAGUGGAAUUCCUAGUGUAGCGGUGAAAUGCGUAGAUAUUAGGAGGAACACCAGUGGCGAAGGCGGCUUACUGGACUGUAACUGACGUUGAGGCUCGAAAGCGUGGGGAGCAAACAGGAUUAGAUACCCCAGUAGUC
rnacentral:rRNA from 1 species